UUUCUGCGAUCUCUCCUCUUUAGCUAACACGGCGGGAAACUGAUAAUUUUGGGGAAAAAUCCUCCCUCCAAAAAAAUUCCCAAUCCAAAAUCCUCGUUUCUGUCAUUUUCAACUUCUAAACCCUAAUUUCGUAAUCUCUGCAAAAGAAUCCCCAAAUUUCCCCAUUGUAGAUAACUGAUAACAACAGUGUGAGAGAGAACGAGAGAGCAAAAGAAGGCACCAACUCUUUUGCUCUCUCUGCACAAACAAUCCGCAUUUCUAUGGCAUUCCUCCAUAAACGUAAACACCAACACAAAAUCCAGCGGCCACCGCUUGGCCGUGAUUUUGACGACGAAGAAGAUACUAACGUCGAUAACCACACUGACGCGCCAUUACGAUACGUACCGCUCGACCGUGUCUACUCUGCAGCAUCACUUUGCGUUAGCGCUAGUGGAUCGUGUAACGUUAUGUCCAAAAAGGUUAAAGCUCGAAAGCUUCUUGUUGAUGAUGAUCCUUGUCUUAGUAGACCUCCGAUCAUCCAUGUAUAUUCUCGUCGAACUAAGAGACCUCGACAUUCUUCCCCUACGCCGUCGUUUUUUGAAUCGUUGAUUGCACGCGCUGCCGAAUUAGUUCCAAAAGUUGCUGUUAAGACUGAAAUUUGUCAGUUUGAAGAUUCUAUUAAUGAUGAUUUGAAGAGGAAGGAGAAGAGGAGGAGGAUUGGGUGUAGUGAGUUGAUGAAAUUGGGCGUCGAUUCUAGCGUUUUAGGAGUUCUUGACAGGCCGCGAUUGAGAGAUUGCCGCAAUCAUAAUGUUAAUAGUAAUAAUAGGAGUUUAAGAGGCAAGAAGCGUGGCUCUUUACAGGAUUCUGACAAGGUUCUGUCGCUGCCGGCUACUGGUAAGAGAUGGGUCAGGUUGAGUUUCAAUGAAGUUGAUCCAAAAAAGUUCAUUGGGUUAUCAUGCAAGGUUUAUUGGCCAUUGGAUGAUGAUUGGUAUUCUGGACGUGUUGUUGGGUACAAUUUGGAGACUAAGCGUCAUCAUGUUGAAUAUCAAGAUGGAGAUGAAGAGGAGUUGACUCUUUCAAAUGAGAAAAUAAAAUUUUUUAUUUCUCGUGAUGAGAUGGAGCAGUUGAAUUUGACUUUCAGUGUGAAAAGCACAGAUGCUGAUGUCUAUGAUUACAAUGAGAUGCUGGUGUUUGCUGCUGUUUUGGAUGACUGCCAAGAUCUUGAGCCUGGGGAUAUUAUCUGGGCUAAACUUACUGGUCAUGCCAUGUGGCCAGCAAUUGUUGUAGAUGAAUCACUUAUUGGCAAUCGUAAAGGCUUAAACAAAACAUCUGGAGAAAGAUCAGUAUUUGUGCAGUUUUUUGGUACCCAUGAUUUUGCAAGAAUUAAACCAAAGCAAGUGAUCUCAUUUCUCAAAGGACUUCUUUCAUCUUUUCACCUAAAGUGCAGGAAACCUCAUUUCACACGAAGCUUGGAGGAAGCAAAAAUGUAUUUGAGUGAGCAAAAGCUUCCAAAAAGAAUGCUACAACUGCAGAAUAGCAUGAAUGCUGCUACUUGUGAGAGUGCAAGUAGUGAGGACGAAGGGAGUACAGAUUCAGGUGAAGACUGUUUAAAAGAUGAAAGCAUGCAGAGGAUACUGAGGGGCCUCGAAACUUCACCUUAUGUGAUUGGGGAUUUGCAAAUAAUAAGCCUUGGAAAAAUUGUCAAGGACUCAGAAUAUUUCCAGGAUGAUAGAUUCAUCUGGCCUGAAGGAUAUACUGCCUUGAGAAAGUUUACUUCAAUAGCAGAUCCAAGUGUUCCUGCCAUAUAUAAGAUGGAGGUAUUGAGAGAUGCCGAGUCUAAGAUUCGACCUCUUUUUAGAGUGACAUCGGAUAAUGGAGAGCAGAUCAAAGGAUCUACUCCAUCUGUUUGCUGGGAUAAAAUAUAUAGACGAAUAAGGAAAUUGCAAGAUUGUAAUUCCAAUAGUGCUGAAGGUGCAGUAGAAAGAUUCUAUGAAUCUGGUUCUGACAUGUUUGGUUUCUCUAAUCCUGAAGUUAUGAAACUUAUAAAGGGAUUAUCAAAAUCCAGACUUUCUUCGAAUAUGUCUUUGUGCAAAUCAACCUCUAGAAGAUAUCAGGACUUGCCUGUUGGUUAUAGACCUGUCCGAGUUGACUGGAAAGACCUUGAUAAGUGUAGUGUCUGCCAUAUGGAUGAGGAAUAUGAGAACAAUCUCUUCCUGCAGUGUGAUAAAUGCAGAAUGAUGGUCCAUGCCAGAUGUUAUGGAGAAUUAGAACCUGUUGAUGGUGUGCUAUGGUUGUGCAACUUAUGCCGUCCUGGGGCUCCUGAUUCCCCACCCCCCUGCUGCCUUUGUCCUGUUAUAGGUGGUGCUAUGAAGCCUACAACUGAUGGCCGCUGGGCCCAUUUGGCUUGUGCUAUAUGGAUACCUGAAACUUGCUUGUCUGAUGUCAAGAGAAUGGAGCCUAUUGAUGGCUUGAAUAGGAUCAAUAAGGAUCGUUGGAAGCUCUUAUGUAGCAUUUGUGGUGUAGCUUAUGGAGCGUGCAUCCAAUGUUCAAAUAAUACUUGUCGGGUAGCGUAUCAUCCACUCUGUGCACGGGCAGCUGGCCUUUGUGUUGAGCUUGAGGAUGAGGACAGACUCCAUCUCCUUGCUGUAGAUGAUGAAGAAGACCAGUGCAUUCGCCUGCUAUCCUUUUGUAAGAAGCACAGGCAGCCAUCCAAUGACCGUCCAGUCAUUGAUGAACGAAUUAACCGAAUUACUCGCCGAUGCUCUGACUAUAUCCCUCCAUGUAAUCCAUCUGGCUGUGCUCGUAGUGAGCCUUACAAUUAUUUUGGAAGAAGAGGGCGGAAAGAACCUGAAGCCCUUGCUGCUGCAUCCUUGAAGCGCUUGUUUGUUGAGAAUCAACCUUACCUGGUUGGUGGUUACAAUCAACAUCAAUCAUCAGGCAGUACACUACCUUCAAAUGGAGUUGUGGGCUCUAGAUUCUCUUCUAGCCUUCAAAGGAUAAAAGACUCCCAGCUUGAUGCUCCUAACAACAUUCUUUCUAUGGCUGAAAAAUACAAAUACAUGCGGGAGACCUUCCGAAAGAGAUUAGCUUUUGGCAAAUCAGGAAUUCAUGGAUUUGGCAUCUUUGCAAAGCAUCCUCAUAGAGCAGGAGACAUGGUUAUUGAAUACACUGGUGAACUUGUUAGGCCACCUAUAGCUGACAGGAGGGAACACUUCAUAUACAAUUCGUUGGUGGGUGCUGGGACUUACAUGUUUCGCAUUGAUGAUGAGCGAGUCAUUGAUGCCACAAGGGCAGGAAGCAUUGCUCAUCUGAUUAAUCAUUCAUGCGAGCCCAAUUGCUAUUCAAGAGUUAUAAGUGUAAAUGGCGAUGAACAUAUAAUUAUUUUUGCAAAGAGAGAUAUAAAAAGAUGGGAAGAACUCACAUAUGAUUAUAGGUUUUUCUCAAUUGAUGAACAACUAGCAUGCUAUUGUGGCUUUCCACGAUGCCGUGGUGUGGUCAAUGAUACUGAAGCAGAGGAGCAAGUGGCAAAGCUCCAUGCCCCUCGCAGCGAAUUGGUAGACUGGAAAGGAGAAUAAAAGAAACCUAGAUUAAGAAAUGUUAGUGAAGUCCUGGUAAGGCACCUCGUGUCCCAACAAAGGAAAAGGGAAGGGAUAAGAGAGGGAAAAAGAUGUUUACUCGCGGAUGUUUUUUAAUUCCAUAGAUUGAUCCUAGUGAGGUACCCUAAAUUCUAACAAUGGAAAAGGGAAGGAAUUGGAGGUAUGUUCCCCAAGUUUUUUUUAACACCAGAAAUAUAGCUGCUUUAUAUCUGGUGAUAAACUUGGUCCUAAGCUGGAGCCUCAAAGUUUGUAAUGAAAUUUUUGAUAACAUGAGCUACUUGGACUAGUUGCAGCUUUAAUUAGAGGAUGCACUAUGUGGUAUAACUGAAAGCGAAAUCGCACUGGCAAAAUUCAGUUGUUUUUUGCAGUGAGAAAUCUUAGAGACAGAUUGUUCCCUCUCCACAAUUUUGUCAUCAUAGCAUGCCAUUUUGUCAAGACUGACGGGUUGUGGAGCUCUUGUUUAUGUCUUCCCAUCUUUGCCAUUUUCUGAUCUCAUUGCCUUGCUUCCACAUAAUGGUUCAGCUUCUUUUCUUCCAGCUGGUUCCUUCCCUUGCUCUGAGCAUAUUAACUUUAGAAAAAGCAAAUGAAAGUGACGUACUAAUUUUAACCUCUUACUAAUUCAUAUAACACUUCAUUUUACUUGUAGCUAAAUUUGUUACCCUGAUAUUUAUUUAUAAACCCUUUGUAAAAGCCUUUACAAUUUUACAAAUGAAAAGUUGUCUUGUCCAUUUUCUUUUUCUGCAA